AAUAGUUUGUUGCUUUUAUAAGCACUUUUCUCAACCUCUCUUUUCUCCGCUGGCAUGAGAAUGGGAGGGCCUGACGAGUCUUAUGGUAGCAAGCGUCCAGGGGAACCCGCAAUCCUAGUUUUUGGGCUCCCAUCAAGAGUUGCCAAGAAAGCUGUUGUGAGCUACUUGGAAGUCAGGACAGCUGGGCCUCCAGCCUGCAGUGACAAUGAGGCUCAGACUGUGAAUCAGGGAAGAGGGGAGUGUCUCGGGAAAGGAUGGCUAGAGCAGACUCUCCCCCACCCCCAAAGGGACUCAGGGAUGAAACCAGGAGUCUGGCGCUCUUUGUAUCCCGCUGGAAGUCUACUCGAGUGGGAAACGAUUGUCUCCUGCGGAGAGAUGGGGAAUAUUAAAAAGAAGCCUUUGGCUCUUUUAGCUAUAUAGAAACAGUCCUCGUCCUUUCUAAAUUUUCUCUUCAGCUGAAAUUAGCAAAACAAACUCCACUUACACCUUCAAUAUUAGAUUCUUAAUUUUGCAAAAUUCCUAACUAUAACCUGGGCCGAAUAUAGUUAGAAGGAGUAGGUAUUCUCUAAAGUGAGGGCUUCUCCCAGACCCUCCCCACCCCACUCACCAUCAGCAAUUCUGUCCCCACCCCCACCUUGGUUGAUAUUCACUACACUGUCCUCUCUGUAGAAUGCUUUCUUUCACUUUUUACUGAGUCUCCCAGACUAGUAAAUUCUCAACUUCUGUGCUCAAAUACAUUAAGUGUUCAAAGAAAUAGUUCUUUAACAUUGUUUGGGAUCCAGUGGCUAAUGGGAGAGUGUGGAGUGUGAAUGGGGGUGGUGGCAGAACAUGGGUAAUCAGGGAGAGGAAAGAGGAACAGGUCAUAAAAAUAGGCAGACCUACUUCAAUGAGGACAGUGCAUCCCGCUGUCAUUUCUUAAUCUGAACUUCUGCAAACUCUUUGAAAAAAAAUGCGCCUGCCUUCCACGUUUCCAACCUCUAAAUUAGCGAAACCAGAUUGUCCUAAUAAGACCUUUUGUUGGAAACACAUGUAGUCAUAAAAAGGUAGACGGAAAGUCAAUUAGACACGCGCGCACACACGCACACAUUCACAAGCCGGUGCUAAGUGUGCACCCGGCGCAGCUGGCUCCCGGGCCGCGGCGGGAUGCAAAUACAAAACAGCGACGCGGGAAAUCGAUUUGUCACAAAGGGAGAGGUGUAAACGCAGCGCAAAGGAAUUGCUUGCCCAAUCUACCAGCCACACUCUCUCGGGACCUUGCCCCGCCAACUUCUCUUCGCCAGAGAAACGCCCAGGAGAGCGGGAACAUUUUCUAGGGCGCUCCCAAGUUGGAAUUCUCAUCACAGUAAUAUCAGCUUCUAGAGUCUCAGCUUUUGCAACAACCCUGGCGCCAGAAAUUUUCUUAUGCAGCACCAUCCUGGGACUCUGGGGCCCACUGGCAGUCUAAAUUUGAGCUUCAAUUAUCUCGUUGAAGAGGGGAGCCAAUGAAAUAUAAAGCUUUAAGGGUAGCUUGGAAACUUUUCUCUUUAGAGGAGGUGAAAUACAGGAUUAAGUGCCUCACUGAGUCCCCAGAGCUGAAUGUCAAGGCCAGCCAAGAGGUGGUGAUUUCGGUUUAUUUUACAUGCAGAAGUAGGGGCCCGGGUUACCUCCUUCUCUUAGAAUUUUGGGGAAAUUGAUAGUCCAGUGACUCCUACCCACUUUUGGGUGAAGGACGAUUUGGAAUUUGAAGUGUGGGGAGACAGGCCUGUGAAGUCCGAAGGACUCACUGGGUCUCCAGAUCCCCCAACUCUGGAAUGCAGUGAAUACCCACCCCCAUGUUUCAGAGCAUCUCUCCCAUGUGUUAGACGUCGUGCAGUCCUGCAUUUUGGCUGAGACACCUAACCCCGGUGCACUCAGGUCAGAGCGCCAGGGCUUCAGGCAGACAGCAAUGGGUCACACGGGUCCUUAUAGUUCCUUCCUCUUCCCAGGAGUGUCAUUUUAGAUUUUACAACACGAGCGAAUAAAUCAUCUCCAAACCAACAAGAUGUCACCUUCAGGCUCCCCACUGC
ensembl:lncRNA novel transcript